GCACUGUAGUCAGAGUUUGAUCCUGGCUCAGGAUGAACGCUAGCGAUAGGCUUAACACAUGCAAGUCGAGGGUACAUGGAGUAGCUUGCUGCUUCUGAUGACGACCGGCGGAUGGGUGAGUAACGCGUAUGCAACUUGCCUCUUAGUGGGGAAUAACCCGGAGAAAUCCGGACUAAUACCGCAUACACUUAGUUAUCCGCAUGGAUGAUUAAGGAAAGAUUUAUUGCUAAGAGAUAGGCAUACGUUCCAUUAGUUAGUUGGUGAGGUAACGGCUCACCAAGGCAUCGAUGGAUAGGGGAGCUGAGAGGCUUAUCCCCCACAUUGGGACUGAGACACGGCCCAA
rnacentral:rRNA from 1 species